rnacentral:misc_RNA from 1 species
CCUAGAGUUGUAGGCUUUGCCUGCUACUCUCUUACCCAUGUCUUUUGAGUACCUUCGUUUCCUCGGCGGGUCCGCCCGCCGAUUGGACACAUUUAAACCCAUUUGCAGUUGCAAUCAGCGUCUGAAAAAACUUAAUAGUUA